CAGGUCGCCACGGUAAUACAGAGGGUGCGAGCGUUAAUCGGAUUUACUGGGCGUAAAGCGUGCGUAGGCGGCUUUUUAAGUCGGAUGUGAAAUCCCUGAGCUUAACUUAGGAAUUGCAUUCGAUACUGGGAAGCUAGAGUAUGGGAGAGGAUGGUAGAAUUCCAGGUGUAGCGGUGAAAUGCGUAGAGAUCUGGAGGAAUACCGAUGGCGAAGGCAGCCAUCUGGCCUAAUACUGACGCUGAGGUACGAAAGCAUGGGGAGCAAACAGGAUUAGAUACCCCCGUAGUCCCUGUCUCUUAUA
rnacentral:rRNA from 1 species